UACGAAGGGGGGCUAGCGUUGCUCGGAAUUACUGGGCGUAAAGCGCACGUAGGCGGCUUUCUAAGUCGGGGGUGAAAUCCUGGAGCUCAACUCCAGAACUGCCUUCGAUACUGGAAAGCUCGAGUCCGGGAGAGGUGAGUGGAACUGCGAGUGUAGAGGUGAAAUUCGUAGAUAUCGGGAGGAACACCAGUGGCGAAGGCGGCGAUCUGGGAAGAUACGUGACGCUGAGGUGCGAAAGCGUGGGGAGCAAACAGGG
rnacentral:rRNA from 1 species